GAUGAACGCUGGCGGCGUGCCUAAUACAUGCAAGUCGAGCGAACGGACGAGAAGCUUGCGUCUCUGAUGUUAGCGGCGGACGGGUGAGUAACACGUGGAUAACCUACCUAUAAGACUGGGAUAACUUCGGGAAACAGGAGCUAAUACCGGAUAAUAUUUUGAACCGCAUGGAUCAAAAGUGAAAGACGGUCUUGCUGUCACUUAUAGAUGGAUACGCGCUGCAUUAGCUAGUUGGUAAGGUAACGGCUUACCAAGGCAACGAUGCAUAGCCGACCUGAGAGGGAGGUCGGCCAGCCGGGAUCUGAGACACGGUCCAGACUCCUGCGGGGAGCAGCAGUAGGGAAUCUUACGCGAUGGGCGAAAGCCUGACGGUACAACGCCGGGGGAGUGAUGAAGGAGUUCUGCUCGUAAAACUCUGUUAUUAGGAGAGAACAUAUGUGUAAGCAACUGUGCACAUAUUGACGGUACCUGAUCAAGAAGCCACGGCUAACUACGUG
rnacentral:rRNA from 1 species